rnacentral:rRNA from 1 species
GACGAACGCUGGCGGCGUGCUUAACACAUGCAAGUCGAGCGAUGAAGCUCCUUCGGGAGUGGAUUAGCGGCGGACGGGUGAGUAACACGUGGGUAACCUGCCUCAUAGAGGGGAAUAGCCUUUCGAAAGGAAGAUUAAUACCGCAUAAGAUUGUAGCUUCGCAUGAAGCAGCAAUUGAAGGAGUAAUCCGCUAUGAGAUGGACCCGCGUCGCAUUAGCUAGUUGGUGAGGUAACGGCUCACCAAGGCGACGAUGCGUAGCCGACCUGAGAGGGUGAUCGGCCACAUUGGGACUGAGACACGGCCCAGACUCCUACGGGAGGCAGCAGUGGGGAAUAUUGCACAAUGGGGGAAACCCUGAUGCAGCAACGCCGCGUGAGUGAUGACGGUCUUCGGAUUGUAAAGCUCUGUCUUCAGGGACGAUAAUGACGGUACCUGAGGAGGAAGCCACGGCUAACUACGUGCCAGCCGCCGCCGUAAAAC